rnacentral:lncRNA from 1 species
CCUUACUAAUUUUACUGAUACAACCUGUCUUGAAUCACUUUAAUGGACUUGACACAUAUCAUGCGCCGAUGAUAGAUACCAGCCAAAUGUCGGAUCCACCACCAAGGCAACUAUGUCUUGCUUGACUAAAAUAUUUUUAACAGAAUUUUGACAAAAUUUUUCCUGAAAUAUGAACUAAAAUCACCUGAACAAUAAUCAAAUUUUCUUAAAUCAAUACUUAUAAUAUAAAUCAGGGUAUGUAAGUCCCUCAAAAUACAAAAUAUUCAAAUAAAAUGCUGGAAAAUCAAUAUUUACUUGCUUUACAACCAACAAUCCUCAAAUAUACUAAAAAUACCAAAUAUCUAAUGAGCCCAUAAUGAAAUUUUCUGAUUUAAACUAUAUGUAUCCCAAAAGAACACAUAAUGUAUAAUCUGACAAAGGAUGUCAUACAACCUAUGGCGCGUGGCUCAAUUCGGUGGUUCGACAUGCUCCAAAGCUACUCAAUUCGUUCGCUUUCUAUCUCAUAAAGAAAAAUGUGAAAAAUAUAUGAGCUGAAAGCUCGGUGAGGGGAUAAUUUGUAAAUAAGUAAACUUUUCUCAUUUACGCAUAUUUUCUGAAAAUUCUUACAAUACUAAAACUUCUAGAAAUUUUGAAAUCUGGUUACACUAUUAAAAUCAAACAUGAAUACAUCAUAAAAUUCUUUGCUCUUUAUUCUAGAUAAGUAACUGUAAAAUAUAACGAAUAUAAAUAAUAUGACAUCGGUGAAAAUUUGUAAAAUAUUGUUGCUCUCAAUACUAUAAGCUGAAAGUUUUAAUCUGAGAAUUGAAUAGACUGAAUUCUAUAAUCUGAAACUCGAUAAGCUGUAGAAAUAUUGAAAAAUCACACCAAAAAGGUAUCCGGAAUAACCUUAUUCACGUAUCGGUUAGUACCAAUAUACAUGGCGAAGCUAUUCAAAUCCGAUAUUCUGAUAAUCUGAUAAGCUGGUCGUACGUACACAGAGCUGCCCCAAAUGCUAAUCACUACAGUUCACGGCCCAAAGCCUAUGUGUGUACGAGAGCG